rnacentral:lncRNA from 1 species
AGUAGGGGGGGAACCUGGUUGGUGGCCGAAAAGAGAAAAAAGAAAGGAGAGAACCGAGAGGGGAGGACGGCUGGAAAAAACAGAGUAAAAGAAAAACCAAGGGGGUGGCGGAUGAAAAGGAACCGUGGAAAACGAAAAGGAAAAAAAGGAGGUGCUUCAUCGGAGGCUAAAGAAAAAGAAAGAGAAAGAUUGAAAGGAAAAAAUGGGAAGUUUAGCGGCUGAAGGCUGAGGAGAGGCUUCGGCUGAGUGAAGGGAAAAGGACGGAGAGGGAAGCUCAACGAAAACAAAAAACAGAGAAAAGGAAAAGAGGGUGGCGGCUGACGGGCAGAGGAGGAAAAAAGAGCAAAAACGCAAGGGGAAAACAGAGGGGCUGAGAACAAGGAGAAGAAAAAGGAGAGAACCGAGAGGGGGGCUUCGGUGGGGAAAAACAGAGAAGGCCGAGAGAGGUUUGGGCUAAAAAGAACAAAGCAAAGGAAAGACAAGGGGCGGCGGAACAAAGCAGAAAACUAAGAGGAAAAUGGACUGCUAGGGUUAGAGAAAAGGGAGACGCGAAAGUGAAAGGGAGAACUUCGGGGAGUUUCUGAGAGGAAGACAAGAGCAGGAACCAGAACAAGAGGAAGAAAGAAGCUUCGGGCUAGGGAAAAAUCAAAACGGAGGCAGAGGAGAGUAAGAACCAGAAUCACCACUGCCGUCGACCACCGCCAGCGCCGCCACUUCACCGAAUCCACCAUCAUCACCGGCCAAUUUUCAUCAAGCAAGAGCACGGUAAGCUGUCUUUUCUUCUUUAAAACUUCAGUUUUGUUCAAGCCUUUGAAACAGGCUGCCGUGACUGUGUUUGGUUGCAAUUUUCGGUUGUUUGUUCAUGAUUUUUUAAUACGCAUGCUAUAUGUGUUAAUUGGACUGUUUGCUGUGUUUCUGGCAAACUUUUGGGGCUGAAAAUGACCUUAAUUGAGCAAAAAAAGUCGGUGAAAUUUUGGUGCCUAUUUGCUGUUCGACGAAAUGCCUAACCGAAAGUCCUGCUUUGAAGAUGAUUUUUGCUUGCGUUUUGCGUUGUUCUUAUCCCAGAAAUUUUGUUUACCAGAGUUGGGUAGUUGAAGUUUUUGGUAAUUAUGCUAGAGGUUGGGUUUUGUUUUUGCUAAGAUGGCAUGCUGUAGCUCCCUGCUUUUCCCUUGUGGUUGUGCAAUCAGCCACGGAUUUAAGGGGGGGCUGGUGGGGGCUUAAGCCCCCCCCAAGCCGCCGGAAAACCCCCUAUAAUCAAACGCUAAGGCUUACUCUGCCUAUCUCAGUCGAUCUCAAGGACACCGCCAUCCCCGACUGCCUCCAGUCCUGCUGCCAGAAGAGCACCGCCGCUAGCAGUCCACCGUAAGUUAUCCCUUUCAUUUGUAUUUCAUUUUUUUUCCUUGAUCACAAGUUUUGGAAAGUUUUUCAAAUGGGUCUGCCAUGACUUGGUUGUUGCGUUUCCCCUGUUGAUGGCCCAUAAUUUUAUGAUUAUACGUGUUUUAUGUGUUGAUUUGGUUGGAUUUUCUUGGGAUUUCUGAUAAUUUUGGGUGCUGCUUUACAUCAAUUGAGCGAGAGAUUAGCUAAAAUUUCUUAUGCUCAUGUGGUGUUUGACGAAAUACCUAACCGACAGUCUUGCUUGAAGACGAUUUUGCUUGCAUUUUGCGUGUUCUUAUCCCAGAAAUUUUGUUUACUAGAGUUGGGUAGUUGACGUUUUUGGCAAUUAUGCAAGAGGUUGGGUUUUGAUGGUAUGCUGUAGCUCCCUGCUUUUCCCUUGUGGUUGUGCAAUAGAUUUGAAAUGAUGAAUUAGAAGAAAGCCACGGUUGGGAAUAAAAUUAUUGCAGAGAAUAUUUGUUGCUCAAAAGAAAAGUUUCUCAUGGCUUUGUAUGUUCUUUUCAAAGGAUUCUACACUUAGCAUGUGAAUAAGUUGACCCGUAUCAAUUUCCCUUUAGUAGAAUAUGUUUUUCAGUUUGGCUAUUGUUGUUUCAUUUCUGCCAUUUUUGAAUGAAAGCUGUUAGUUUCCUUCAUCCGAUGAUCUGCGAGGCUGUUUUGCUGUGAAUACUGAGUUUUUAUUGCAAGAUUAUGGUUGUGCCUAAGAUUUUUAUCUUGUGAGUUUGUUUGAAGUUAUGGCAGAGCUCUAAGCCAUUUUGGUUGCAUUUUGAUGAGCAUCAAAUCUGCAGCAGAAUAAAAUUUUUGCAGUCCUCUUUGCUGUUUUCUUUUUUCUGCAAUUGCUCACCAAGUUUCAGCCAUCCAACCUGCUGAUUGGUCUUAUAUUGAAAAGGUGGAUUAGAUAAGUGGUGUUGGAUUAGCAUGUUUAGUAUUUUGUUCAAAUUCAAGAUCUGAUCUUUAGCAUGUUUUCUUGAAUGUUUUGGUUCGGCACUUCAAACAAGAGUUAAACAUUUUCGCUGCAUUUUUGUUUUGUUAUUUUGAAAACCACUGCUACCCCUUUGUUUUUGCUAGCUGUCACCAAACCAGAUUUUCUGAUUUGAUCUUGCAACAAAAGGGUAAUAUUUGACUUUCUAACUCGUCACAAACCUCUAAUGGGAGCCAACUCAUUUGUGACAACUUAGAAAAGUCGUCACUAGUAAAUUCCCGCCAAGAUUUAGCAAGAGCGCGGGAGUGUUUGGAACACACAAUAGUGACGACAUUAAAAACAUCAUCACUAUUGCUUGGCCUAGUUACGGACAACUUUUUGUUGUCGUCACUGAUCACUAAAAAAAAGGUUAUUAGUGACAACAUUCUCUAGUGAUGACAAUAAGUCGUCACAAAAGGGGUUUCUUUAGUCGCGACACCUAAAGUUGUCACAAUUGCAUCAAAGCAACUAAAUGUUUAGUGACGACCCGUUAUUUUCGUCACAAACUACAUUGCAAGAAAUAUGGUCAUUAGUGACAACAUUUUUUAGUGACGACAAAAGUCGUCACAAAAAGUGGUUAUUUAGUGACGACAAGGAAAGUUGUCAUAAUUGCUCAAAGCAACUAAGUCUUCAGUGACAACCUUGAAAAAGUUGUCACUAAAAUGAUCUAUAUAGUGACAACUUCUAAUAUCGUCACUGUCACUCUACCGAUUCGGAUUUAGUGACAAGAAUUAAUCGUCACUGUUUAAAGUACUUAUUUCUAAGUCACUUUCAUUAAUUCUACUGUGCCACCCUAACUUUUGCGAUUUAGCCCCAAAUGUUGUAAUAAAUUUCAUUAAUUCCAUUAUGAUACCUUAACUUUUUCAAUUUAGCCCCAUAUGUAGUACACCGAUUUCAUUAAUUCUAUUAUUACUCCCUAACUUUUGUAAUUUAGCCCCAUAUGUAAUUCACCAAUUUCAUUAAUUCUACUAUGGCACUCUAACUUUUGCAAUUUAACCCCCAUAUGUAAUACACCAAUUUUAUUAUUUCUAUUAUGGCACCCUAGCUUUUACAAUUUAGCCCCUAUUUUUUUAUUAGGAAAUUGCGAAUGGUAUCUUGAUAAACUAUGCAUAAAUAUUUUAUAAUUUUCUCAAACUUAAGUAAUAAUUUGUUAUAAAUUCUAAAGAUAUAUCUUUCAUUACAAUAGUUAUAAGGCAGACAGGUCUUUUUAUCAAUGGAAUAAGAAAUUUAUGGCAGAUUUAUCCUUUGUGCUACAUGCCAAGUAGUAUUAGCAAAGGAAUAACAAAGUACUACAAAGCAAUUAACAAAAUAUCUGUAAUUUAUACACAUUUUGCAACUACUACUUUGUGUUUUCUCUGUAAUGAAUUUUUUAACUAUUGAGAACUUAAGUUUUGUCUUGCAAAUCUAUACUAGUACAAUAAUUUUAAACAAAAUUAAACAUUAAAAUAAAUGUUUGAAAAAGAACAAAAGUACAUUUAUCACUUGCAGUAAUGUAACAAAAUUUUCUCAACCAUUAUCAAUAUUUUCACAAAAGUAUUAAAAACUAGCAAUUGACAAUAUUAAAAACUAGCAAUUUAAUUAGUGAUGACUUUUCUUGUCAUUAUAAUCUUGAAUAAAUUAGUGAUAACAUUAUGUCAUCACUAAAUUUUCUUUGAUUUUGACUUAACAAUAAUGUCUUAUUAAUAGCAUUUGAUUAUUUUUAAUAAAAGUCUGUUAUAACCAUAGAAUUUGACUUUCGUUAUUUUCAAUUAAUGAUGUACUUUAGUGCUGCAAUUAUAAAAAAUUGCAGGGCUAAAAUAUUUGCAAAUUAUAAAAGUAUAUUUUCACUUAUAUGUAAUUAACAAAUUUUGCCACCUAUAUUGACGAAAAUUUGUGUUUUUGUACUAAAAAAUAAAGAAUAAUACUAUAGCAAUAAAAUCUAUGCUUCAAACCAAAUUAAAAAUAAAAAAAAAACAUGAUGAUUGGUCUCAAAUGUUGGGAAAAUGAUUAUUUUUAUUGAAACUAUGUGUAGACACCAAAUUUUUGUUUUUUUAAUUUUAUUUUGUUUAAUUAAUUUAAUAGGUUUAUUUGUUUCAAUUCUAGGGCUUUUAUUUUUAUUUUUAUUUUAUUUUAUUUUAUUUUGCUCUAAUUCAUUUUAUUUUAUUAUUUAUUUUUGUCUCGUACUAAAAAAAAAGAGAAAAAGAAAAAGCAAAAAAAAAAUAAUGACAAAUGGGGAUCAUGGAUAGAGACAAGUGUCCCUUUUUGCAUUUGACAACACCUCACCUCACCUAGAUGGUGAGGUGUCUAGACACUUGUAGGAUAGAUAUUUUGAAAAGGAAAAGAAAGAGAAGAAAAGGGCAACGGGGCUUGAAAAAAAAAGGCAAGACAAAGAGGAGGGUUUGGCGGCUGAGUAGGGGGGGAACCUGGUUGGUGGCCGAAAAGAGAAAAAAGAAAGGAGAGAACCGAGAGGGGAGGACGGCUGGAAAAAACAGAGUAAAAGAAAAACCAAGGGGGUGGCGGAUGAAAAGGAACCGUGGAAAACGAAAAGGAAAAAAAGGAGGUGCUUCAUCGGAGGCUAAAGAAAAAGAAAGAGAAAGAUUGAAAGGAAAAAAUGGGAAGUUUAGCGGCUGAAGGCUGAGGAGAGGCUUCGGCUGAGUGAAGGGAAAAGGACGGAGAGGGAAGCUCAACGAAAACAAAAAACAGAGAAAAGGAAAAGAGGGUGGCGGCUGACGGGCAGAGGAGGAAAAAAGAGCAAAAACGCAAGGGGAAAACAGAGGGGCUGAGAACAAGGAGAAGAAAAAGGAGAGAACCGAGAGGGGGGCUUCGGUGGGGAAAAACAGAGAAGGCCGAGAGAGGUUUGGGCUAAAAAGAACAAAGCAAAGGAAAGACAAGGGGCGGCGGAACAAAGCAGAAAACUAAGAGGAAAAUGGACUGCUAGGGUUAGAGAAAAGGGAGACGCGAAAGUGAAAGGGAGAACUUCGGGGAGUUUCUGAGAGGAAGACAAGAGCAGGAACCAGAACAAGAGGAAGAAAGAAGCUUCGGGCUAGGGAAAAAUCAAAACGGAGGCAGAGGAGAGUAAGAACCAGAAUCACCACUGCCGUCGACCACCGCCAGCGCCGCCACUUCACCGAAUCCACCAUCAUCACCGGCCAAUUUUCAUCAAGCAAGAGCACGGUAAGCUGUCUUUUCUUCUUUAAAACUUCAGUUUUGUUCAAGCCUUUGAAACAGGCUGCCGUGACUGUGUUUGGUUGCAAUUUUCGGUUGUUUGUUCAUGAUUUUUUAAUACGCAUGCUAUAUGUGUUAAUUGGACUGUUUGCUGUGUUUCUGGCAAACUUUUGGGGCUGAAAAUGACCUUAAUUGAGCAAAAAAAGUCGGUGAAAUUUUGGUGCCUAUUUGCUGUUCGACGAAAUGCCUAACCGAAAGUCCUGCUUUGAAGAUGAUUUUUGCUUGCGUUUUGCGUUGUUCUUAUCCCAGAAAUUUUGUUUACCAGAGUUGGGUAGUUGAAGUUUUUGGUAAUUAUGCUAGAGGUUGGGUUUUGUUUUUGCUAAGAUGGCAUGCUGUAGCUCCCUGCUUUUCCCUUGUGGUUGUGCAAUCAGCCACGGAUUUAAGGGGGGGCUGGUGGGGGCUUAAGCCCCCCCCAAGCCGCCGGAAAACCCCCUAUAAUCAAACGCUAAGGCUUACUCUGCCUAUCUCAGUCGAUCUCAAGGACACCGCCAUCCCCGACUGCCUCCAGUCCUGCUGCCAGAAGAGCACCGCCGCUAGCAGUCCACCGUAAGUUAUCCCUUUCAUUUGUAUUUCAUUUUUUUUCCUUGAUCACAAGUUUUGGAAAGUUUUUCAAAUGGGUCUGCCAUGACUUGGUUGUUGCGUUUCCCCUGUUGAUGGCCCAUAAUUUUAUGAUUAUACGUGUUUUAUGUGUUGAUUUGGUUGGAUUUUCUUGGGAUUUCUGAUAAUUUUGGGUGCUGCUUUACAUCAAUUGAGCGAGAGAUUAGCUAAAAUUUCUUAUGCUCAUGUGGUGUUUGACGAAAUACCUAACCGAC